AGGAUUAUAGUUUACUUAAAACAUUUGAUUUGCAUUCAAAAAAUAUUAAUAAUUUUAAUUUAUCUUA
rnacentral:tRNA from 4 species